ensembl:lncRNA
ACCGCCGGCAACCGACGGGGCGGCCCGGGCUCGGCCGCUGGGAGCACGGCGGAGAGCUGCAGGCGGCGAGGCCCGGAGCGGCGAGCUCCAUCCAGCGCGGCACACCCGGAUCCUCGCGUUGCCCCAGGGCCACAUCACCCCACUCCAGGGCACUGCGCAGACCCGCAGACACCGCACCCGCAGCUCCGAGGGGCAGUGCGGGGCCCCGCAAAGAAACGUCGCCUCUCCCCGGGCCCAGGUUCCGGGACCCCCCCGGCACAGCUGUAACGUCGCGAACGCCCACGCCUGCAGAAUAAAAACCGAUCCAGAGCCGCCUCGUCUCCCCGAGCCUCUGUGGCAGCGCCCGUCGGUGGGACAGCCGAGGUGGGGCACACGGGGACGGCGCGCAUCCAUUCCCCGGGGCAGAUCCGUUCGUGAAACCGCAAUUGAGAGCCCGUGUUUGCAGACGGGGCGGGCACAGCCGGACCCCGAGACACACUCCUCGGCCACAGCCGGGCCCUGGGCAGGGGGAGUCGCCACCUCGAGCCCCGCCCGAGCCCAUGGGCCCUUUCCCAAGUCGGGGGGAGAAGGGUCCCCUCACCAUCCCGCUUACAGUGCCUCCUGUCCGUGGGCACUGCUUCCUUCGGGGCUCCGUGCGCGGCCCCGACGGCGCUCCCCGGGCCGGGUGGCAUCAGCCGGGCUCCUCCGGGGAACCACUCCGGGGAUCAGCUCCGAGGAAGGGGCCCGGCCCAGCCGCCCCCGCGCCGCGGCCCCGCUCCCUCUUCCCUUUCAUCUCUGCCCAUCUCCACUCAUCAUCUCUUUUCUAUUUUUAGCCGGUAGACUUAGGCCUUGGCGCCAGGCCGUUUAAGACCUGUCAAAGUCCUUCAUAUUUCCCUCAUGUCACAUGGACCUUUCGCUCCCUUCCCCGCGCCAUGCGAGGGCCGUAAUUUGGAUCUGUGAGCUGGUGAGCAAAUGCAAUUUGCUCUUCUCCAUCGCUGCGUUGUCUCCGUGACCCCAGCCAGCAGGACGGCUGGUGUCCUGUCCGGGGCACUUACACAAAUUGCGGCUGAUUGAUGAAAAAUAACAAUUCUCCGAGCAGUCGGGCCUCCGUCUUCCCCUCCUCCCGGCUCCUCCGGGCUGAGGCGGCUCCGCGCCCCGGGGCGCUCCUCUCGACGGUGCGGGGCCGCCCCACGAACCGCCGCCGGCCGCCUCUGGAGUGACUCUCGGAUUGAGCCAAAAAGGGGUUUUCUUCUCGUGCUGGAAGCGAGCCGUCGGGGCCCGCUUCUCGGCAGAGAUGAAGGGCGUUGUACGCCUGGGCCCUGACGGAGCCGGGCAGCAGCGGCCGUUGUGCACCUUCCAGAGGUGGGAAAAGGCCGGGCCGCGAAAGAGCCGGGUCCGCUGCGGGGGGUUCCUCAGCCCGGUGGGGCCGCCGAGGGCCGGGCUGAGCGGCUGUCCAUCACCGGACGUGGGGCACCAGAGUCCUCUGCACGUGCAGUGCACAGCAAUCCCGCAGGUGCGGGCUGGGAGCUCGUGGAAAUAACCCUUCGCCCUCGGAGGAGCGGCCCCGAAGCUCUCUGCCACUUUUCUCCCUCUCCACCUGGAGAAGAGACACGGGGGAACGUCCCCGCCCCGCGCUGAGGUGCCCGUCGAGGGGCGGCGGCUGCCCCACAGGUGGGGCGGGGAGAGACCCGAUGAUCGCCCCGUCCCGGGCCCCGUGGGAUGCGCCUUUAUGGAUAGCGAUGCCCGGCCCCGGCCACACCACCUCUUCCCGCUGUGCGCCCCGUCCGUGCGGAGGGAACCCCGGCACCCCCUGAGCUCCCCCCACCCUCAGCCUGUUUAGAUUUCUCUCCGAAUGUUUCCCGUAAUCCAGAUUUCUGGAAAAUAACCACACGCGGGCAGACGCGGCCACGAACGCCGCUGAAGUUUAUCCGGAGUUUUACCAACGUAUAAACACAUUUCCAGCCCGUUCGGCGGGGCGGGCGCUGGGUGACCCCUGCCCGGCACCGGGGCUGCACCGCGCUCCGCCCUCGUUACCUCCGCGCCGCUUUGAUCCGGAGCCCUCCGAGCUCCGCCGCUUGAUUGAGUUUUUGCAAUUAAGGAGCGCAGGGAGAGGGAGGGGGGGGGCGGCCGUAACCCCGCACACCCCGGGGCUGCGCACGUCGGGGCGCGGCGCCUCGGCCGCU